rnacentral:rRNA from 1 species
UACAGAGGGUGCAAGCGUUGUUCGGAAUCAUUGGGCGUAAAGGGCGUGUAGGCGGUUUGUUAAGUCAUGUGUGAAAUCCCUCGGCUCAACCGGGGAACGACGCAUGAAACUGGCAAGCUAGAGUACCAAAGAGGGUGGUGGAAUUCCCGGUGUAGUGGUGGAAUGCGUAGAUAUCGGGAGGAACACCAGUGGCGAAGGCGGUUGCCUGGAGCUUUGCUGACGCUGAUGCGCGAAAGCGUGGGGAGCGAUCCGG